CAGUAGCCGCGGGAAUACAGAGGUCCCGAGCGUUAGGCGGAAUCACUGGGCUUAAAGCGUGUGUAGGCGGAUCGGUAAGUACCUUGUGAAAUCCCAUGGCUUAACCAUGGAACUGCUUGGUAUACUGCCAGUCUUGAGCCAGCUAGGGGCUACCGGAACAAAUGGUGGAGCGGUGAAAUGCGUAGAUAUCAUUUGGAACGCCAAUGGAGAAAUCAGGUAGCUGGGGCUGUGCUGACGCUGAGACAUGAAAGCCAGGGGAGCGAACGGGAUUAGAUACCCCUGUAGUCCCUGUCUCUUAUAC
rnacentral:rRNA from 1 species